CCUACGGGGGGCUGCAGUGGGGAAUAUUGGACAAUGGGGGGAACCCUGAUCCAGCCAUGCCGCGUGUGUGAAGAAGGCCCUCGGGUUGUAAAGCACUUUCAGUGAGGAAGAACGCCUGGUGGUUAAUACCCAUCAGGAAAGACAUCACUCACAGAAGAAGCACCGGCUAACUCCGUGCCAGCAGCCGCGGUAAUACGGAGGGUGCGAGCGUUAAUCGGAAUUACUGGGCGUAAAGCGCGCGUAGGUGGCUUGAUAAGCCGGUUGUGAAAGCCCCGGGCUCAACCUGGGAACGGCAUCCGGAACUGUCAAGCUAGAGUGCAGGAGAGGAAGGUAGAAUUCCCGGUGUAGCGGUGAAAUGCGUAGAGAUCGAGAGGAAUACCAGUGGCGAAGGCGGCCUUCUGGACUGACACUGACACUGAGGUGCGAAAGCGUGGGUAGCAAACAGGAUUAGAUACCCUUGUAGUC
rnacentral:rRNA from 1 species